GUGAGUCAUCGAAUCUUUGAACGCACAUUGCGCCCCUCGGUAUUCCGUGGGGCAUGCCUGUUCGAGCGUCAUUUAAACCUUCAAGCUCUGCUUGGUAUUGGGUGCUUGUCCCGCCUCCGCGCGGCGACUCACCUCAAAGUCAUUGGCAGCCCGCAUCCGCCGGCCGUGAGCGCAGCACAUUUGCACUCUAGGUAUUGGCAGGUCGGCUUUCCAGAAGCACUUCUUUUACUAUUGACCUCGGAUCAGGUAGGGAUACCCGCUGAACUUAAGCAUAUCAAUAAGCGGAGGA
rnacentral:misc_RNA from 1 species